UCCGUAGGUGGAUAAUUAAGUCAGAGGUGAAAUCCUGCAGCUCAACUGUAGAAUUGCCUUUGAUACUGGUUAUCUUGAGUCAUUAUGAAGUGGUUAGAAUGUGUAGUGUAGCGGUGAAAUGCAUAGAUAUUACACAGAAUACCGAUUGCGAAGGCAGAUCACUAAUAAUGUACUGACACUGAUGGACGAAAGCGUGGGGAGCGAACAGGAUUAGAUACCCUGGUAGUC
rnacentral:rRNA from 1 species